AACGAACGCUGGCGGCAGGCCUAACACAUGCAAGUCGAACGGGUGUAGCAAUACAUCAGUGGCGCACGGGAGAGUAACGCGUGGGAACCUACCUUUUGGUUCGGAAUAACGUCGGGAAACUGACGCUAAUACCGGAUAAGCCCUACGGGGGAAAGAUUUAUCGCCGAAAGAUGGGCCCGCGUUAGAUUAGCUUGUUGGUGAGGUAACGGCUCACCAAGGCUACGAUCUAUAGCUGGUCUAGGAGGAUGAUCAGCCUCACUGGGACUGAGACACGGCCCAGACUCCUACGGGAGGCAGCAGUGGGGAAUAUUGGACAAUGGGGGCAACCCUGAUCCAGCCAUGCCGCGUGAAUGAUGAAGGCCUUCGGGUUGUAAAGUUCUUUUGGCGGGGACGAUGAUGACGGUACCCGCAGAAUAAGCUCCGGCUAACUUCGUGCCAGCCGCCGCGGUAA
rnacentral:rRNA from 1 species